rnacentral:rRNA from 1 species
UUGGAGGGCAAGUCUGGUGCCAGCAGCCGCGGUAAUUCCAGCUCCAAUAGCGUAUAUUAAAGUUGUUGCAGUUAAAAAGCUCGUAGUUGAAUUUCGGGAUUAGUACGUCGGUCGUGCCUUAGGUAUGUACUGGUGUUACUGGUUCCUACCUUCUGACGAACCAUCAUGUCAUUAAUUUGGUGUGGUGGGGAAUCAGGACUGUUACUUUGAAAAAAUUGAGUGUUUAAAGCAGGCUCGCGCUUGAAUACAUUAGCAUGGAAUAAUGAAAUAGG